UACAGAGGUCUCAAGCGUUAAUCGGAAUUACUGGGCUUAAAGGGUCCGCAGGCGGACCAGCAAGUACCUUGUGAAAUCUCAGGUCUCAACCCUGAGUCUGCUGGGUAGACUGCUGGUCUUGAGUGCAAAAGGGGUCGCUGGAACUCUAGGUGGAGCGGUGAAAUGCGUAGAUAUCUAGAGGAACGCCAAAGGUGAAGACAGGCGACUGGUUUGCAGCUGACGCUCAUGGACGAAAGCGUGGGGAUCAAACGGG
rnacentral:rRNA from 1 species